AAGCCAUUUUAGAUCUACUAGGAAACAAGAAAGGCACUCUAUUAAGAUAUCAAGUAAAAAAGCAAAUCACUGAGGCAUGCUAACAGUUUGGAAAAGGGACUUCAGAGGCGCAUAUGGCGAAACCUUCCAUGGAGACAAAAGAGCUUGUUCAGUUACUGUUGGAGCCAUUGUGACUUUCUGAAAGAACGGAUAACAAAGAAAGGUCUUCAGAUGAACUCUUUCAACCAACUGACAAUCAGAAAACCUUUCAAUCCGUCUAUGACUUGGAACCCACCCUUGCCCACCUCCCUUUGAGUUGCCUCAUCUUUCCAGACCAAACCAAUGUACAUCUUACAUGUAUUGAUUGAUAUCUUAUGUCUCCCUAAAAUGUGAAAAAACAAGCUGUAGCCAGAUCACCUUGGGCACAUGUUGUCAGAACCUCCUGAGGCUAUGUCAGGGGCAUGUCCUUAAUGUUGGCCAAAUAAACUUCUAAAUUGAGACUUGUCUCAGGUACUUUUUGGUCUACAAUUUCCACACUCCCUAUUUUUUAAAAAGGACAGAUGUAGCAAUAUUAAGAAAAAAAUUGAUAAAUGUAUAAUACUGGUUGUAUGUGUAAUUUAAGUGCAUUCAGUUGCUGAUCUUUAUGUGUUGGGGUUUAUGGAUGGCAAAAAUCAUGCUGUCUUGGUUUCUUCUAGAAUCGCACCAUGAAAAUGUUGCACCAUUGGGUCUUGAGGACUCUGAAAAUACUGUAUUCAUUUAUUGAUGGCCCAUAUUGGAAUGCUGGUUGGACACCUGUGAGCCUAUGCCUAUAAACACCCCAGACUGAGCCAGCAGAAGGGAGAAGCAUCUGGAUGUCAGGGACUACAGCUGGACCUUAGAGAGAGAAGUGGCUUGACUUCAGAGAAACAACUUGAUGGGAUAACUUCAGAGAAGAAUCCAGCCAGAGACAGCCGAACUUCAGGAGGAGAUUACCUACCCACCCCACCCCCUUUCCAGCACUCCUUCCCACUAAAAGCCACUUUCACUUGCAAUAAAAUCCCCCACACUUACUAUCCUUCGA
rnacentral:lncRNA from 10 species